UGGGGAAUAUUGCACAAUGGGCGCAAGCCUGAUGCAGCCAUGCCGCGUGUGUGAAGAAGGCCUUCGGGUUGUAAAGCACUUUCAGCGAGGAGGAAGGUGGUGAGCUUAAUACGCUCAUCAAUUGACGUUACUCGCAGAAGAAGCACCGGCUAACUCCGUGCCAGCAGCCGCGGUAAUACGGAGGGUGCAAGCGUUAAUCGGAAUUACUGGGCGUAAAGCGCACGCAGGCGGUUUGUUAAGUCAGAUGUGAAAUCCCCGGGCUCAACCUGGGAACUGCAUUUGAAACUGGCAAGCUAGAGUCUCGUAGAGGGGGGUAGAAUUCCAGGUGUAGCGGUGAAAUGCGUAGAGAUCUGGAGGAAUACCGGUGGCGAAGGCGGCCCCCUGGACGAAGACUGACGCUCAGGUGCGAAAGCGUGGGGCAGCAAACAGGAUUAGAUACCCUGGUAGUCCACGCUGUAAAACGAUGUCGAUUUUGGAGGUUGUGCCCUUGAGGCGUGGCUUCCGGAGCUAACGCGUUAAAGUCGACCGCCUGGGGAGUACGGCCGCAAGGUUAAAACUCAAAGGAAUUGACGGGGUC
rnacentral:rRNA from 1 species